GAACAAGGCACGUCCUAACUCUCCCAACAGCAAAGGACAUAGAACUGCAUGGAGUCAAUUCACACAGCCGCUUGAGAUCUUCAGAGAGAAAACGAUCUACAAAUCAACUGCACUGCUGAGUGAGGAUAGCAACGAGUGCAAUGACAAGAAAACCCAGAUAAAGCUGGCUGCCGACCAGGAAAUUAGAGGGUCGCGGGGAGCUGCAGCCUAUCCCAGCUAACUACGGAUGUGAUGUGUUGGCAUCGGGUCAUAUGGCGAAAUGACAGAGCUGCUGUGUAAUCCUGUGGUCACAAUUAACAGGCUCGACCCUCACUGUUCCAUGCAGCUAAAAAUCACCAGUUGCUAACGACACCAUCCUUAAGC